rnacentral:rRNA from 1 species
UACGAAGGGGGCUAGCGUUGUUCGGAAUCACUGGGCGUAAAGCACACGUAGGCGGAUUGUUAAGUCGGGGGUGAAAUCCUGAGGCUCAACCUCAGAACUGCCUUCGAUACUGGCGAUCUUGAGUUCGGAAGAGGUUGGUGGAACAGCUAGUGUAGAGGUGAAAUUCGUAGAUAUUAGCUAGAACACCAGUGGCGAAGGCGGCCAACUGGUCCGACACUGACGCUGAGGUGCGAAAGCGUGGGGAGCAA